rnacentral:rRNA from 1 species
AAAGGAAUAGACGGGGGCCCGCACAAGCAGCGGAGCAUGUGGUUUAAUUCGAAGCAACGCGAAGAACCUUACCAGGUCUUGACAUCGAUGGAAUUUCUGAGAGAUCAGGGAGAGCCUUCGGGCACCAGAAGACAGGUGGUGCAUGGUUGUCGUCAGCUCGUGUCGUGAGAUGUUGGGUUAAGUCCCGCAACGAGCGCAACCCUUGCGAUUGGUUGCUAACAGGUAAAGCUGAGGACUCCAAUAGGACCGCCGGGGACAACUCGGAGGAAGGUGGGGACGACGUCAAAUCAUCAUGCCCCUUAUGACCUGGGCUACACACGUGCUACAAUGGCCACUACAAAGAGGAGCGAAGCCGCAAGGCGGAGCGGAUCUGAAAAAAGUGGUCUCAGUUCGGAUUGAGGGCUGCAACCCGCCCUCAUGAAGUCGGAGUUGCUAGUAAUCGCGAAUCAGCAUGUCGCGGUGAAUACGUUCCCGGGCCUUGUACACACCGCCCGU